rnacentral:rRNA from 1 species
GACGAACGCUGGCGGCGUGCUUAACACAUGCAAGUCGAACGGAAAGGCCCUGCUUUUGUGGGGUGCUCGAGUGGCGAACGGGUGAGUAACACGUGAGUAACCUGCCCUUGACUUUGGGAUAACUUCAGGAAACUGGGGCUAAUACCGGAUAGGAGCUCCUGCUGCAUGGUGGGGGUUGGAAAGUUUCGGCGGUUGGGGAUGGACUCGCGGCUUAUCAGCUUGUUGGUGGGGUAGUGGCUUACCAAGGCUUUGACGGGUAGCCGGCCUGAGAGGGUGACCGGCCACAUUGGGACUGGGAUACGGCCCAGACUCCUACGGGAGGCAGAAGUGGGGAAUAUUGCACGAUGGGCGGAAGCCUGAUGCAGCAACGCCGCGUGCGGGAUGACGGCCUUCGGGUUGUAAACCGCUUUCGCCUGUGACGAAGCGUGAGUGACGGUAAUGGGUAAAGAAGCACCGGCUAACUACGCG